GAUGAACGCUAGCGACAGGCCUAACACAUGCAAGUCGAGGGGUAACAGGGGCUUCGGCCCGCUGACGACCGGCGCACGGGUGAGUAACGCGUAUGCAACCUACCUGUAACAGGGGGAUAGCUCCCUGAAAGGGGAAUUAACACCGCAUAAGACUACGCUACUGCAUGGUAGGGUGGUAAAAUAUUUAUAGGUUACAGAAGGGCAUGCGUGACAUUAGCUAGUUGGCGGGGUAACGGCCCACCAAGGCAACGAUGUCUAGGGGUUCUGAGAGGAAGGUCCCCCACACUGGUACUGAGACACGGACCAGACUCCUACGGGAGGCAGCAGUGAGGAAUAUUGGUCAAUGGGCGCAAGCCUGAACCAGCCAUGUCGCGUGCAGGAAGACUGCCCUAUGGGUUGUAAACUGCUUUUUUACGGGAAGAAAACCAGCUACGCGUAGUUGUUUGCCGGUACCGUAGGAAUAAGCAUCGGCUAACUCCGUG
rnacentral:rRNA from 1 species